rnacentral:misc_RNA from 1 species
GUAGGUGAACCUGCGGAAGGAUCAUUAAUGCUACAUUCCACUUGAGGAAUUGCUUGGUUUGGAAUUUUUUUUUCAAGCCGCAUUCUACGAGUGUGAACGUGUAUCUCUUAUCUUAAACGCUUAAGGAACUUUUUAUUAAGUUCCCUAACGUACCAAGUAACUUGAGAAAGCCUUUGCUGUUUUGUUGAAAGAUAGCAAAGUGUCUUUCUCACAUUUUUUCUUUUAUACCAUAAUUACCCUAUUAACUUAUAAACUAUUAGACUGAUAUAAAAUAACAUUUAUUUUAUAAAUGUAUGAUACAACUCUUAGCAAUGGAUAUCUAGGCUCUU